GUGAAUCAUCGAAUCUUUGAACGCACCUUGCGCUCCUUGGUAUUCCUCGGAGCAUGCCUGUUUGAGUAUCAUGAAAUCUUCAAAAUAAAUCUUUUGUUCACUCGAUUGAUUUUAUUUUGGACUUGGAGGCUUGCAGAUUCACGUCUGCUCCUCUUAAAUUUAUUAGCUGGAUCUCGGUGAGCUCGGUUCCACUCGGCGUGAUAAGUAUCACUCGCUGAGGACACUGUAAAAGGUGGCCGGGAUUGCGGAUGAACCGCUUCUAAUAGUCCAUUGACUUGGACAAUAAAUACUUUAUGAUCUGAUCUCAAAUCAGGUAGGACUACCCGCUGAACUUAAGCAUAUCAAUAAGCGGAGGAAAAGA
rnacentral:rRNA from 1 species